AAAUUGAAGAGUUUGAUCAUGGCUCAGAUUGAACGCUGGCGGCAGGCCUAACACAUGCAAGUCGAACGGUAACAGGGAUCAGCUUGCUGAUUUGCUGACGAGUGGCGGACGGGUGAGUAAUGUCUGGGAAACUGCCUGAUGGAGGGGGAUAACUACUGGAAACGGUAGCUAAUACCGCAUAA
rnacentral:rRNA from 1 species